rnacentral:rRNA from 1 species
UGAGGAAUAUUGGGCAAUGGGCGAAAGCCUGACCCAGCAACGCCGCGUGAGGGAUGAAGGCCUUCGGGUUGUAAACCUCUUUUCUGGGAGAAGAGACAAGGACGGUAUCCCAGGAAUAAGUCUCGGCUAACUACGUGCCAGCAGCCGCGGUAAUACGUAGGAGGCAAGCGUUAUCCGGAUUCACUGGGCGUAAAGCGCACGCAGGCGGUUAUGUAAGUCGGACGUGAAAGCUCCUGGCUCAACUGGGAGAGGUCGUUCGAUACUGCAUAGCUUGAGGUUGGGAGAGGGAAGCGGAAUUCCCGGUGUAGUGGUGGAAUGCGUAGAUAUCGGGAGGAACACCAGUGGCGAAAGCGGCUUCCUGGCCCAUACCUGACGCUCAGGUGCGAAAGCGUGGGGAGCGAACGGG